GCAGGAUUCCUGCACCCUGAGCUACGCAGGCGGUGCUGCGGUGGGACAGUACCACGUCAAGAUUAUGGUGGAGGACUACGCCGUUCCUUUCCUCGCAGGCAUGCCCGUGCCGGAAGGGGCGCUGAGUUCCAGCUCUGUGUACCUUUCCAUCACAGGUGAGCCCGCAACAUCUGCAUGUGUUGCAGAUCCUUGACGACACUAUAAGAUUGAAUUUGAACGUAGUUUUUUUUUUUUGAUUCAGUGGAAAAUGGCUCUGCUGACUGCCCGGCGCCUCCACAAUUUGCCCAGCAGAACCCAGCAGAGGGCGACGUGGCCUCGGUUUUGCCAUACGAGCAGCUCACAUUCAACAUCAGCUUCCUUUCAGAGGGACAGAGGUCGGGGCAGCUCCACUCAGUUCAAGUGUCAUCCUUAAAAUAUAACUCAAGCAACUCCUUACAAAUGUGUUUAAAUGUUGUUUGUUGUCUUUAACUACAACGUUCAUGAGACGAAGCCUCUUCACAGCAUAAUGUCCUUCCCUCUCUAGUAUAUCUGAGAUUGCUAUUGUCGGACCCCCCGAACUCUAUGUGUCACCAAUGAUGAGCCAACCAGAUUCGCAGACGACGGUCCAGGUUUCCUGGGUUAGGAGCCCCAACCAGCUCAGCCAUCUUCUGCCCAUCUGUUUCACUGCAAACAGCAUAAGUUCUCAAUCAGAUAAAAGGUGCAUAUGGCUUCAGCAAAAAAAAAUGAACAUCAUGCCAAUUGGAACAGAGGUCACAUGUGGGGAUAACCGGAUGUCCCUCGUGCUGCCCAUAGCAUCACUGAUAAAUCUGCCGCUUAAUGACCUCAAACUGAACGACGGCUCCUGUCCGGUCUCUAGCAAUUCAACCCACAUCACAGUCAGCUUCUUGCUGACGGAGUGUGGCACAAACAGAGUACAAUCUGGUUCUGAGAUGGUAUACACAAAUAUUCUGCAAAGCAGACGGCCCACAACCAUGAUAAGCCGCGUGCCAUCUCUGAUCCUCCCUCUGGCGUGCCGAAUCCCAGGUCAAACUGCCAAGGGCCCAGAGUACAACAUCAGCAUACCGUCAGAGACCCAGACUUUUGGUGACUUCGCGUUCAGAAUCGAGCUUUAUCCGCCUGGCCAAGGGCCCAAGAUAAAAUCUACCGACAUGUUACAAAAAGAAAUGACUGCCGCUGGGAUGGUCCGUGCUGCACAGCGCCUGGACGAGCUUGACCUCUACGUCUUCAGCAACACCACGGUUGACAAGGCCGAGCUCAAGGUCGACAGCUGCGUGGAAUCAGCAACAGCAGAUUUUGCGGUGACGUUCCCUCUGCUCAACCAAGGGUCAGUGAUGGAUUUGUUGAUUAAGGAGAGGGCCUUGUUAGUUGGGGACUUGGGUGUAAUGAUUCACACACAGAUCUCUCCCCUUCCUUUCAGAUGUAUGAAUGGCAACACCACAAUCGAGAUGCUGUCAUCCAAUUCCAAAGUCAAAAUCUUCAAAAUAAACUUGGAAAACCUCAAUAUAGAAGGAACCACGGUCAGUCACUCAGCCAUCACAAGUGCAUUUGCUCAUAUGCACAAACAAAUUCAAAUACGGCAGCAGAUCUGUAGUGUUUGGUUAUUUUCCCGUUUCUGUUUAGAUGUACGUGCAGUGCAUGGUGCACCUCUGCAUAGCCACAAUGCCGAACCAGACGUGUCCCAGCUCAUGUGGGAAAGCCGCAGCAGGUUUAUUAGUUAACAGCAUUGUGACAAAAGACUACUUAGUCCGCUCUGGCCCAGUCCUGAUUAUCAAUACCCCACAAACGUCUACACAAGCAACUACUACCCCGACUACUACAACAACAGAAAGGCCGACCACCACUCUUCCUACUACCGUAAC
ensembl:lncRNA